GACGAACGCUGGCGGCGUGCUUAACACAUGCAAGUCGAACGGUAAGGCUCCAGCUUGCUGGGGUACACGAGUGGCGAACGGGUGAGUAACACGUGGGUGACCUGCCCUGCACUUCGGGAUAAGCCUAGGAAACUGGGUCUAAUACCGGAUAGGACCAUGGUGUGGAUACUGUGGUGGAAAGUUUUUUCGGUGUGGGAUGGGCCCGCGGCUUAUCAGCUUGUUGGUGGGGUAAUGGCCUACCAAGGCGGCGACGGGUAGCCGGCCUGAGAGGGUGGACGGCCACAUUGGGACUGAGACACGGCCCAGACUCCUACGGGAGGCAGCAGUGGGGAAUAUUGCACAAUGGGCGGAAGCCUGAUGCAGCGACGCCGCGUGGGGGAUGACGGCCUUCGGGUUGUAAACUCCUUUCACCAUCGACGAAGGGUUUCUGACGGUAGAUGGUGAAGAAGCACCGGCUAACUACGUG
rnacentral:rRNA from 1 species